AGAGUUUGAUCAUGGCUCAGAAUGAACGCUGGCGGCGUGCUUAACACAUGCAAGUCGCACGAGAACGCUUCAGCUUGCUGAGGCAAGUAAAGUGGCGCACGGGUGAGUAACGCGUGGGUAAUCUACCUCCGAAUUGGGGAUAACAUUGCGAAAGCGGUGCUAAUACCGAAUCACAUCACCAAGGCUCCGGUCUUGGUGAUCAAAGGUGGCCUCUACAUGUAAGCUACUGUUUGGAGAUGAGCCCGCGUACCAUUAGCUUGUUGGUAGGGUAACGGCCUACCAAGGCUGCGAUGGUUAGCUGGUCUGAGAGGAUGAUCAGCCACACUGGAACUGACACACGGUCCAGACUCCUACGGGAGGCAGCAGYGAGGAAUUUUGCGCAAUGGGGGAAACCCUGACGCAGCAACGCCGCGUGAGUGAUGAAGGCYUUCGGGUCGUAAAGCUCUGUCAAGUGGGAAGAAGUCAUAUGGUGUUAAUACUGCCAUUGUGUUGACGGUACCACUGAAGGAAGCACCGGCUAACUCCGUGCCAGCAGCCGCGGUAAUACGGGGGGUGCGAGCGUUAUUCGGAAUUAUUGGGCGUAAAGAGCGCGUAGGCGGUCUUUUAAGUCAGGUGUGAAAGCCCGGGGCUCAACCGAGGAAGUGCACUUGAAACUAAGAGACUUGAGUAUGGGAGAGGGAAGUGGAAUUCCUGGUGUAGCGGUGAAAUGCGUAGAUAUCAGGAGGAACACCGGUGGCGAAGGCGGCUUCCUGGACCAAUACUGACGCUGAGGCGCGAAGGCGUGGGGAGCAAACAGGAUUAGAUACCCUGGUAGUCCACGCAGUAAAACUGUGAACACUAGGUGUAGCGGGUAUUGACCCCUGCUGUGCCGAAGCUAACGCAUUAAGUGUUCCGCCUGGGAAGUACGGCCGCAAGGUUAAAACUCAAAUGAAUUGACGG
rnacentral:rRNA from 1 species